UACGAAGGGGGCUAGCGUUGCUCGGAAUCACUGGGCGUAAAGGGUGCGUAGGCGGGUCUUUAAGUCAGGGGUGAAAUCCUAGAGCUCAACUCCAGAACUGCCUUUGAUACUGAAGAUCUUGAGUUCGGGAGAGGUGAGUGGAACUGCGAGUGUAGAGGUGAAAUUCGUAGAUAUUCGCAAGAACACCAGUGGCGAAGGCGGCUCACUGGCCCGAUACUGACGCUGAUGCACGAAAGCGUGGGGAGCAAACAGG
rnacentral:rRNA from 1 species